CCUACGGGCGGCAGCAGUGGGGAAUAUUGCGCAAUGGGCGAAAGCCUGACGCAGCGACGCCGCGUGAGGGAUGAAGGUCUUCGGAUCGUAAACCUCUGUCAGCAGGGAAGAACGGUCACUGUGCUAAUCAGCAGUGAAUUGACGGUACCUGCAAAGGAAGCACCGGCUAACUCCGUGCCAGCAGCCGCGGUAAUACGGAGGGUGCGAGCGUUAAUCGGAAUGACUGGGCGUAAAGCGCUCGUAGGCGGUAUGGCAAGUCAAGGGUGAAAUCCCCGGGCUCAACGUGGGAACUACCUUUGAAACUGGCAGACUUGAGUGUGUGAGGGGAUAGUGGAAUUCCAGGUGUAGGAGUGAAAUCCGUAGAUAUCGGGAGGAACAUCAGUGGCGAAGGCGACUAUCUGGCACGUAACUGACGCUGAGGAGCGAAAGCGUGGGGAGCAAACAGGAUUAGAUACCCUAGUAGUC
rnacentral:rRNA from 1 species